ensembl:lncRNA
AGCGCGCUGGCGCCAGGCGAACCCGCGGGGACGAGGAGCGUGGGCAGAGACCCGGCCGAGCCCGCGGCCGAGCCCUAGGCACGGCGGCUGGAAAACUGGAAAAAUAGGGCCCCUAAUUCUUCGGCCACCGAGGGCCGCAAAGGCCCAGCGCCGCCGCCUCGCCCUGCUCCGGCCCCUGCCCCUCGGCGGCCGCGGGCUCCGGGUGAGUGCGGCCCCGUGCACAGCCCGCAGAGCCCGAGCCCGCACCUCCCCGGGAGCCGCGAGUCGUGAGCGGGACGAAGCCGGCGGCGGACGGAACACCGGAACGGCGCUAAUCGUUACCGGGGCCGCGGCAGCGCGGGGCUUCUCUCCGCGCACCGGCGACACGGGACAGCGCCGAGCGCUGAGUCGGGCCCCCUGAAACCCGGUUAUGGCGACAGCGUUUCCCGGUGCGCGGUCGGAACCGGGCGGUCCGAGGACAGGAGAAGGGAGGGCGGCCCCGGGAGCGGGCAGGGAGCGAUCCGCCGCAAUCGCUGCGCGGGUUUCAAGGCGGCGCGGUGGGGAACGAUGCGGUGCUCCCGGGCCGCCUCCGUGUCCGCCGGGCGAAGGGGACCGGCAGAAACCGAACUGCGGCCAUCUGCGCGGGACGUGGGCCCUCUUCCCGGGGCUGCGCCGCCGGUAAAUGCGUUUCGCCGUUGAGGUCGGAGCGGUGGGACGCAGGGAAACGAAGGUACCGCCACGGCCGGUAAAUGGCGGAGCCGCCGCCCGGUACCGACCCGAGAGAGGUACCGACACUCACCUGCCCGCCGUGCGCCCGGGUCCCCGCCGCCUCGCCUCGGCGCCGAUCCGAGUCCUGCGGGGCGGCAGCAUUUUAAUCACAACGAAAUUUCCCACCCGGCCCCCCCCGCCCGCCACUUGGCGCGCCCGAUCCGCGCUCCGUGGAGGCGUUGAGCCCUUCGAGCGCCCCGGGGGCCGCGGGGCCCCGUCAUGGGGUCCCGGUACCGCCCGCCGCAGCGCACCGGUGCGUUCGGUGGGGCCGAGGCGCAGCUCUGGGCCCGGGGGAACUCUCGGCGUGGAGCGGCUCGGCGGACAGCGGCCCACUCGCUCGGUGCGUUACCCGCCAGCACGGUGGCCUGGCGGCUCCGUUCGGCCGCUGCCCGCCCGUUACCGGCGAGAGAAACGAAACGAAACGAAAGAAAACGAAAGAAAAAGCCGAACGGGCCGGAGCGCGGCGGACGCGGGGAGCCCGUGCGGGCGGGAGGGGACGCGCCAGCGCCGAGGUAUAUGCGGGAGCACUGGCGGGGCGGCGGGGUCCGGAAAACACGGAGGGCGUCGGGUACGUGUACGUCGCAUGGCUACUGCCCGCCCGGACGCCGCGUACUCGGCAGCGGGGCACUCGCGGGGCCGCACGUGUUCGCCCCGAGCCGUUCGCGGGAGGGGACCGGCGGGGCGCGCCGGGCGGGGGUCCCUACCUACCUACACGUGCUUAGCACUGGGAGGCGCGGCGGCGGCGGCCGCG